UAGAGUUUGAUCCUGGCUCAGAUUGAACGCUGGCGGCAUGCUUUACACAUGCAAGUCGAACGGCAGCGCGGGCGGGGGUAACCUCGCCUGGCGGCGAGUGGCGAACGGGUGAGUAAUACAUCGGAACGUACCCAGAAGUGGGGGAUAACGUAGCGAAAGUUACGCUAAUACCGCAUACGUUCUACGGAAGAAAGUGGGGGACCGCAAGGCCUCAUGCUUUUGGAGCGGCCGAUGUCUGAUUAGCUAGUUGGUAGGGUAAAGGCCUACCAAGGCGACGAUCAGUAGCUGGUCUGAGAGGACGACCAGCCACACUGGGACUGAGACACGGCCCAGACUCCUACGGGAGGCAGCAGUGGGGAAUUUUGGACAAUGGGCGCAAGCCUGAUCCAGCAAUGCCGCGUGAGUGAAGAAGGCCUUCGGGUUGUAAAGCUCUUUUGUCAGGGAAGAAACGGCUGAGGCGAAUACCCUCGGCUAAUGACGGUACCUGAAGAAUAAGCACCGGCUAACUACGUGCCAGCAGCCGCGGUAAUACGUAGGGUGCGAGCGUUAAUCGGAAUUACUGGGCGUAAAGCGUGCGCAGGCGGUUUUGUAAGUCUGACGUGAAAUCCCCGGGCUCAACCUGGGAAUUGCGUUGGAGACUGCAAGGCUGGAGUCUGGCAGAGGGGGGUAGAAU
rnacentral:rRNA from 1 species